rnacentral:rRNA from 1 species
UACAGAGGUGGCAAGCGUUGUUCGGAAUUACUGGGCGUAAAGGGCGCGUAGGCGGCCUUCUAAGUCAGACGUGAAAUCCCCCGGCUUAACCUGGGAACUGCGUCUGAUACUGGGAGGCUAGAGUGCGGGAGAGGGAUGCGGAAUUCCAGGUGUAGCGGUGAAAUGCGUAGAUAUCUGGAGGAACACCGGUGGCGAAGGCGGCAUCCUGGACCGACACUGACGCUGAGGCGCGAAAGCCAGGGGAGCAAACGGG